rnacentral:rRNA from 1 species
UCCUACGGGGGGCAGCAGUAGGGAAUCUUCCCCAAUGGGCGAAAGCCUGAUGGAGCAACGCCGCGUGGGUGAAGAAGGUCUUCCGAUCGUAAAACCCUGUUGUUAGAGAAGAAAGUGCGUGAGAGUAACUGUUCACGUUUCGACGGUAUCUAAUCAGAAAGCCACGGCUAACUACGUGCCAGCAGCCGCGGUAAUACGUAGGUGGCAAGCGUUAUCCGGAUUUAUUGGGCGUAAAGGGAACGCAGG